AGUAGUGGAAGUGCCCCGCCAUCCCUCUAAAAAAGCCUGGGACUGGCUGCUCGGCAAACAACCACAUUUCCCCAGCUGACACUUCAGUCCUGCCUGGAGUUUAUGUAGUGGCAGCACUGAUCCCUUUCACCCCUCAAGAGGAACCAUGAUUUUCACUGGAGAACAAGUGAGGCAAAGAACAGGGGGCCCCCACAGCUACACAGCCCUGGUCCCCCCAGUAAUGGAUGGAAAAUCGGCGAUUUCCUGACAGUUAGCAACCAAUUUUCCACCAAUUAGAAGAGAGAUGGUGGUCUCUGGAGGAAGCUGGAUGGCUCCACUGCACAAAGCUGGGAGGAAGAGCGAUCCUGGAAGCACCAAGGGCCAAAACCUGGGGAGGCAAAGCCAGCCAUGUUCUACGGGCUGGGGUCCAAGUUUACUUAAGAAGAGGAAAAUGUUAUUAUGGAAAUUACAACAGCAUUAAGAAACAGAGCGUCGCUGUAUCAAUCCAGGACCACAAGAAUGCUCAUCAAUUUAAUAGCUUCCUGUUGGAAACCUUGUGAGCUACGCCUGAAGCUGGCAGGCAUCAGGGCACGGGAGUGAGGCCAAGCAACUGGGUGACAUUGUGCCCCCACCCUCUGCCCUUGGGAAAGAAGAAAAGAAAACCAUUAAAAUGAAAUUCCUGGAGCUGGGAGCAGCCAGGAGUCUGGCACGUGUCUCCUCCUGGACAGUAACAGCAGAAGAUGAAACCAACUGUGGAACUCCAAAGGGCGGGGCCCCGUGUGACCACACAGGCUGCACACGCACGGAGCCAGCCCUGAGAGGUGCUGCCUACUCACUCUGGAGGGAGGGCAGCACCUGCCCCUGCGCAGGCACUGUCCAGCGUCGUCCUCACUACCCUCAUUUUAUGGAGGAGGAAACCAAGACCCUGAGUUGAAGUAAACUUUCCCGAAGCCACACAGCUGGAGAAGGAGGAGCUGGCAUUUGAACUUGGGUGAUCUGGCUGCCUUCUAUCACUGCAUUGAAAUUACUGUCCAUUUGCCAAGGGCUUGCUACAUACCAGGAACCAAUUUCACUUGGCCGCUAGGAGGCGUUGUCAUUCCCAUUUUACAGAUGAAGAAGCUGAGGCUCAAAGAAGAGGAAGAGGCAGAGCUUGGAUGUGAACUUGUACCUGUCUCAGGUCUUGCGCACACACUCCACGGGACAGGGGCUGUGCUGAAUAGACUUGUAGAAAGCGAGCGAUGGGGGAUCUCCGAAGGAGGGCAAAACCUGGUGGGCCUACCCCUCCCACCAUCCCCAGACAGCUUUCCCUCACAGCUACGGGUGGAGGCAGCCGGAGGUUGGCUGGAGAGGCCCCAUCCACUGACACUCAGGGCUGGGAGGAGAUAGUGCUUUUUAUCUCUGCGGAGAGUUCAAGAGUUUAUUCCCACCCGGGGCAGUGGGGAGCCUGGUGCCCAUUCUUGGAGGGUGUCCAGUGACAGGACAGAUUGGGGGUCACUUCCUCCCCUCCUUCUUCAUCACACUCUCCUCCACACUCCACCAUCACCAGAGGACAGCAGGAAACAUCUUGGAUGGAGCCCUCUGACUGGACACUGGCUCUGGAGGAAAGUACUGGCUCGGAGCACAGGGCUGGGUGCUGAGCCGUCCGGGGUGUUGGGGGAAGAGCACAGCUCCGGAGCCAGGCACAGAGGCUGGGAUGUGGGCAUCACCUUCUGACUCUGACCUCAGACACGGCAUUUCCCACCUCUGAGCUUGUUUUCUCCUGUGAACAGCUACGUGAUCAUCCCUGUCUUGGAGAGUUGUUGUCAGGGUUAAAACAGGAGAGAUCAUGUAUUUUGGUCUCCUGGUUCAUAGCCUGACCUAUAGCUGGGGCUCUAAGUGGACCCAUCCUUUUCCAUAUGCACCAUGUGAAUUUGACUCCAGUCAGUGAAGCAAAGUUCACUCCAGUGUCCCAAAGAUAGAGCGAAUGAGCUCACCCCUCCUCAAAACUCCUCUGUGCUCCCAGGACCUCAGCCUGGCAUUCAGGGCCUCCAGGGGUUAGGUGACUACCUGCUCCAGGCUUCUUUUCUGCCUCCAGAGCCCCAGGUUGACUCCUCCCUGAACAAAGCAGGCCGGAUCUUGAUCUCCCAUCACCCUUGAAGACCCAGAUCAUCUACUGCCUCCUCUCUGAAGCCGCCUCCAGCCUCCUGAGGGAGAAUGAAUCACUGGCUCCACUGUGCUCCCACAGCCCCGAGCUCAUUCUGCUUUGUGUUUCGGGUAUAGAUUUGUGGCUCUGCCUCCCCAGCACACUGUGGGUUCCUGCAGGGCAGCAGGACGAGCUUCAUCUUUUUAUAAAAUGCCUGGCACAAAAUCUGUGCUCAGUGGUUAUUGUUUAGUCGAUUGGUUAACUUACCAAACAGCAUCUCCUGGAAUCGGAGCAUCUCAGAGCCAGUAGCACCUUAAAGAUCACCUAAUCCACAUGCCCCAUUGUCUAUCAGGGUGUGUCCAACCUUUUCAUGCCUCUGGGCCACACUGGAAGAAAAUGAGUUGUGUUGGGCCACACAUUAAAUACACAAACACUAACAAAAUCUGAUAAGCAAAAAAAAGGUUUUAAGUAAUUUUUGAUUUUUGUGUUGGGCCGCAUUUGUAGCCGUCCAUGGGCCACAUCCAGGGCCACAUCUACCUAGUAGAUGAAGAGGCCUAAAACUAGGGGAGAGUUGGGAUGGGGUAGAGAAGGAUAGGCCCAAGGUCUCACGAUGAGAUAAUAGCAGAAGACACACCAAAAUGCCAUCCUCUGUGGCUGAAUGAAGUCAGGGCAUAUUAGUUUCGAUUCACAGUUGGGUAGACAAGGACCAGUCAGUCAGUGGCUCUCCAUUGCCCUUUGGAUAAAGUUGAAAUCUCGGCUCCCUAAGUCCUUUCGUGAUGAGGUCCCAGACAAUCUGUGCACCCUCACCUCCAGAUAGUCUGCACACUCAGGUCACACAACACCACUCCAGCACCUGGAAUGGGUCCUUCUCUUAUACUUCCAGGCCUUACUUGCUUUGCUGUUCUUUCUGCCCAGAACACCCACCCCUUUGCACAGGACACUCACCACUCCUUUCUCUGGCCAAACCCUGCAGUCCUUCUGGUGGAAGCUUAGAUGUCACUUCCUCUGAAAAGGCUCCCUUGUUCCCCUCAUCUCCUCUUCCUGUGAUCCCACCUGUCACUCGAGGCUGCAUUUGUCUGUUUUCAAAGCUCUAUGUCACAGGCUGUACAUCUUGCACCCCUAGUGCCCCGCCUAAAAAUAUAAAUAUAAAUGAAUAAAAGAAAAAAUGAACAAAUGAAUGAAGUGUAAAAACUGGAACUCCAGACCACAGGCAGGGACACUAGUGCUCUCAAGUUAACUUCAGGACCUGUGCCUGGGGACAGGCACUGGGAUGAGAG